ensembl:lncRNA
AUGCAGAAGAGGUUCCUGGCAGAUACACUGCAAAAUAUUCAUAGAAGAUUUUUAGCAGAAAAUCCAAAACAAAAAAUAUCAUAUUCCCUUUUCUGUCAUCUUCGCCCUUUUUGGGUUGUCAAUCCAACAAUCUCUGAACGAGACACAUGCAUGUGUAAAUUGCAUGAAAAUCUGAGCUUUGUGGCUGUGAAGCUCAGUCAGCUGAAACUUACUGAGACUGCCAAUCUGGAACAGUUGGUAGAGAUGGUGUGCUGCAACUCAUCCAACAAAAGCUGCAUGUAUGGAGAGUGUGUCCACUGCAAGGACAAGAGUGUCCCCAUCUCAAGUGCUUAUAACAGUACUGCAAAUGUGUCUUUUACCCAGUGGGUAACAGAAGAGAAGGAGAUGGAGAAAAAGAAAGAGGGCGAAAAGGCAACUGUCAAGGUGACGUUUAAGAAAUCUGUGGAGGGCACACAAGAGGACCUCAUUGAGCUCCUCCACAGCUACAUAAAGCGAUUUAAACAGCAUCACUUUAACAUUAAGCAGCAAUAUGCCUUCUGCCGUGAGCUGAAAAAGAACAUGUCAGGGGAAGAGGCUUUGAUACAUGUUGACUUUUCUGAAAAUUACAGCUGUAAAUACAGCUCCCAAGUUCAGGCGGUCCACUUUGGGGCUUCACAUCAGCAGGCCACCCUUCAUACUGGUGUGCUGUAUGUUGGCAGACACCCAGAGCCUGUGUGCUUCAGCACCAUCUCCCCCAGUAGACACAAAGGCCCUCCAGCAAUAUGGCAACACCUACAUCCUGUGCUGGAUUACCUUCAGGCCCAACAUCCACAAGUGUCUGUGCUGCACUUUUUAAAUGAUGGCCCCUGUACUCAGUACAAACAACGAGGCAACUUCUUCCUUUUCGCCACAGAGCUGGACAGAAGAGGAUUCAAGGCUGGUUCUUGGAACUUUUUCGAGGCUAGUCACGGGAAAGGAGCACCAGAUGGUGUGGGGGGGGCCUUAAAAAGAGCAGCUGAUAUGAUGGUGGCAAAGGGCCGUGACAUCCCAGAUGCAGCAGAGUUGUACAAGGCCUUGACUGAGUCAAACACAACAGUGAAACUGUUCUUUGUGAAAAGUCAAGAUGUUGAGGAAGCAAUAGAGAAAAUGCCAAAGCUGAUACCAGCAGUUCCUGGCACCAUGAGAAUUCACCAGGUCAUUACUCUGGCUCCAGGAGAAAUGCUAUCUCGUGAUGUAAGCUGCAUGUGCACAACACGGAAGCAGUUUAACUGCAAGUGCUUCAACACCCAGUGUUUCAGUUUUGGCCAGAAGAGAACAACUGCUGUGCCACAGCCAGCCAGUGGAGGGAAUCCAGAAAAUGAUAUCCAAUGGGAAAGUCCAGAGCUGAUUGGGAAAUGGUGUAUUCUCAGAUAUGAUGAUGAUUUAUAUCCAGGCGUCAUUCUGAACAUACAGGAAACACACGUCCAGGUCAAAUGCAUGCAUCGUGUCGGUUCAAACCGAUUCUACUGGCCGCAUCAGGAUGAUAUCCUCUGGUACUUGUUUGACGAUGUCCUUGAAGUCAUCCCACCCCCGCAGCCUGUGACAAAGCGCCAUGUGGAGGUCUUGAAAGAGGUGUGGAACCGACUCACAGUCUGA